CAGACACAUGCAUGUAGCCAAACUCUUACACGUACGUAUAACUUCACAUUCUAACAUUUAUACACGUACGUAGGUACUCUUUUGUACGUACUGCACAUGUUGCUUUCUUUGUGUGGUAUGCUUGCUAUUUUUAAGGAUUCAGCCGAUGUACUGUCUGUAUACCCGUUUGCACGUUCGUGGCCCUUGUUUGUUCCAUUAUCUUCCAAAGGUAUUAUCCAAACUCUCUAAGUAUGAAUAAGAAAAAAAAUUCAAAAAAACCAAAUAGCUCC
rnacentral:lncRNA from 1 species